AGGACGAACGCUGGCGGCGUGCUUAACACAUGCAAGUCGAGCGAGGACUUGUUCCUAGCGGCGAACGGGUGAGUAACACGUGGGCAACCUGCCCCGGGCUCUGGGAUAACUCCGGGAAACCGGAGCUAAUACCGGAUAUUCACUGCAGAAGGCAUCUUUUGUGGUGGAAAGUUUUUCGGCUCGGGAUGGGCCCGCGGCCUAUCAGCUUGUUGGUGGGGUAGUGGCCUACCAAGGCGACGACGGGUAGCCGGCCUGAGAGGGUGACCGGCCACACUGGGACUGAGACACGGCCCAGACUCCUACGGGAGGCAGCAGUGGGGAAUAUUGCGCAAUGGGCGGAAGCCUGACGCAGCGACGCCGCGUGAGGGAUGAAGGCCUUCGGGUUGUAAACCGUCUUUCUAGCAGGGACGAAGCGAAAGUGACGGUACCUGCAGAAGAAGCACCGGCCAACUACGUGCCAGCAGCCGC
rnacentral:rRNA from 1 species